AUUGAACGCUGGCGGCAGGCCUAACACAUGCAAGUCGAGCGGAUGAAGAGAGCUUGCUCUCUGAUUUAGCGGCGGACGGGUGAGUAAUGCCUAGGAAUCUGCCUGGUAGUGGGGGAUAACGUCCGGAAACGGGCGCUAAUACCGCAUACGUCCUACGGGAGAAAGCAGGGGACCUUCGGGCCUUGCGCUAUCAGAUGAGCCUAGGUCGGAUUAGCUAGUUGGUGGGGUAAUGGCUCACCAAGGCUACGAUCCGUAACUGGUCUGAGAGGAUGAUCAGUCACACUGGAACUGAGACACGGUCCAGACUCCUACGGGAGGCAGCAGUGGGGAAUAUUGGACAAUGGGCGAAAGCCUGAUCCAGCCAUGCCGCGUGUGUGAAGAAGGUCUUCGGAUUGUAAAGCACUUUAAGUUGGGAGGAAGGGCAGUAAGUUAAUACCUUGCUGUUUUGACGUUACCGACAGAAUAAGCACCGGCUAACUUCGUGCCAGCCGCCGCCGUAAUAC
rnacentral:rRNA from 1 species